rnacentral:rRNA from 1 species
AUUGAACGCUGGCGGCAGGCUUAACACAUGCAAGUCGAACGAGUGGCGGACGGGUGAGUAAUGUCUGGGAAACUGCCUGAUGGAGGGGGAUAACUACUGGAAACGGUAGCUAAUACCGCAUACCAUCGGAUGUGCCCAGAUGGGAUUGGCUAGUAGGUGGGGUAAAGGCUCACCUAGGCGACGAUCCGUAGAUGGUCUGAGAGGAGGACCAGCCAACCUAGAACUGAGACACGGUCCAGACUCCUACAGGAGGCAGCAGUGGGGAAUAUUGCACAAUGGACUCAAGCCUGAUGCAGCCAUGCCGCGUGUAUGAAGAAGGCCUUCAGGUUGUAAAGUACUUUCAGCGGGGAGGCGUUACCCGCAGAAGAAGCACCGGCUAACUCCGUGCCAGCAGCCGCGGUAAUAC